rnacentral:lncRNA from 1 species
GCUUGCACCGAGACUCAACACACUAUUCUCAUUCAUUUUCAUUCAACUGCGCUUAAAUAACACUCAUACUCAACAAACACCCACGUACAAACCUAAAAAUCCGUUCUCAACUUACGAUAACGUCAGACAAACCACGCGACGCAACCUGGCGAUCCAAACUCCACUUAAAUCGAAACUCACAUGUCGAAGAAAACACAUAACUAACCAAGUAAAAGAUCACUAUCGAUCCGCGUAUCUUAUUGGACUACAAGCUCGGGCGACGAUAAUGAGCGACCACAUGUGAGUUUAUAAAUAAUAGAAAAGAUAUUCAUGUUAUUUAUUUUACCAGU